rnacentral:rRNA from 1 species
UUUCGUGUCGGCUUUUCUGGUCGUUGUACCGGGCGGAUUACAAUCGGUAAGAGGAGUAGAGAGAUCGAAACUUGGGGAACAGUAGACGUUGCCGUCAACGAUCGUGGGUGUGGUUGUCUCUUCGAGACGAGACGGAGUUCAGGUCGGAGGUGUGAGGGUGGGCUCGAAAACUAUGUACCUUUUCGUGGUGGAGUGGCCUAAAGACGUGAACCGUGCCGCAGUGUACGUGUUGUUCCUGUCCCGUUCGUGGGGAGCACCACCGGAACCUAUACCUCCGCCUUCCGGAGAGGCCACUCUAUGGUUGGACGUAGAGGUUGGAGUGAAGAAACCAUUCUUAGGUGAACGGUUUGUUGUGGGAGAGACCAGUAUAGGGUGGGCUUGAACCGGCAGACAGGCUUGAGGCCAUGGAUUUGGAGUCAAAAUUAAGCAACUUGCCGUGGUAGGGCAGGUCGGAACCAUGGGAACCCUUUGAAAGACGAGAUCUGGAUCCGUCAUUGCCUAAAAGACCAGUCUAAGGCUGCGACAACCCCUCGAGCGACCGAGAUCUCAGCCAGUCAGACGGGUUGUUAGAAGAACUACCUCUUUAGGGUGUAAGUGAUCGUUUAUCAAUGAGGGAGGCAAUGGAAAGGGAUUCUUUGUUAUCAUAACUACCCCGGUAGGGAGGCAGGGAGAAGUUGUUGAGUUAGUAAUGUCUCUAUGUGGAAGCUUUGUUGUUAGAAAGGCCAUGUUAAGGUGGAAAGUACUUCAAAGGAAGCUUCGAGUGUAUGGAUUCAGAAUGGCCUUUAUCGGAAUGACCUCAGCACGGUGGUAGGCACCGUUUGGAGAGUAGGGAAUGGAGCGAGAACGAACGGCUAUUGGUCAACGUUCCUAAGUAAGGUCUAAACCCAUUUGAAAGUUCGGACUUUUUGGAGCUAGAGAGGUGGUUGUUAGACAGUCCCUGUCACGGUGGGAGUUAAAUGUUAAACAGAAGCGACUUGAAAGAACCCUACAAACCGUUAUUAGAACCUCCUUGUAACGGGAAACUGUACCCAUUGUGUGAACGAUUGUAGUUUAGUGACAAAUACGUUCUAUUAGUAAAAACCCCUCUGUAGGGACGGAGUGAUGUUUUACGGAGGUGGUACUGCAUAUAGGUAGAUCCGUUGUUGAGAGACUGACCCCACCAAGGAAGAAAGUCGAGGUACCUUUUAAACCUCAAACACUACAACAUGAGUUUAGUAGAGCUCCGACCUCUGACCUGUAAGAAGAGGAGAAACCGCUUAACAUCUGUAGAAGAUCUUAAAUUGCAUCCACUUUUGUUGAACACACCCCUAAAUGGUCGUUUAAGGUAUCGUUUAGACGGGUUUUCGAACUGGCGAGAUUGAGAAGCCAGUUUGUUGUAUAGACCGUGGUAGGGGAACCUCUAACCUUUAAACAGAUUAGAAUUGUACAACAUAGAACUAUCUUUAGAAAAGUACCCCAGAUAUGGAGGAUGGGAACCAGUCGAUGUAUUGAACCAACAAGAAUCAGAUGGUGUUUUGUUGAAAAGACCCCUUUAUGGUGGAAGGUAACCGUCGAAUUUAGUUGACCUUCUUGAAAUAAACGUUCUUUUACUAAACUCACCUUAGUAUGGACUUUCAAAUCCGUCGACGGUCUUCAACAACCGUGAUUUGGAAAGAACAUUAUGGGAACCACCUUCGUAUUUUCCUGUAUACAACCGAUCCAACCUUGUCAAUUCAACCAAUGAACUAAAUAGUGUGUUGGUCGAGUGUUGCAGGUAUGGUGAUCUCUACCCAUCGAACUAUUUGGAACCAAGGAACUUGUAGAGAGUGUUGUUAGAGUGCCCCUCUUAGGGCAGGUGGGAAUCGCGUACACAAGCCAACCUUCGUGAAGCACAUCUUCUCUUGUAGGACGUUCCUCUGUAAGGUGUUAGUGAUCGUUUGAACUUUCCGGAGUUUCACAACCUAACGAGGUCAUUAUUAGAUAGACCGUGUUAGGGCCUCAAGGAACCCUGGAAGUGGAGAGACUACAUAAACUUAUACAGGAAGUUACUGAAGGUUCCCGGUGAAGGGUGACGACCUCACAAACGAUUAUCUUCACCAUCAAAACAGGUUCCUUUGGGUGUGGACACACGUUUGUAACGUCAUGUUCUAAACGGAUCCACGAAACGAAGUUGUAGGUGUGUUUUUGUGUUCAAGCAGUAAGGAUAGGACUAUCGAGACAGUUGAGAGCAACGUGAACGAAACGAGAACCCCCACAAGUUAAAAACCAACUCUUCCUCUAUGUUUAGGUCACUCUCUUAACCGGUAAGUAUGUACCUCUACUUUUCCUAUUGUAUACCACUGUAUUAGUUUCGUUGCCUAUCAGAAAGAGAUCGGUUGCAUCAACCGAGGCCCGUUAAACCCUGACAGAUGUUUCCAACCAAGCUGCGCCUUCUACCAUGCCAACGACAAUUUCAGAAGUUCGAGUUAGUCGUGCCACGUAACGUAUCGAAGUAACGACUCACGUUUCGUAACGUUGUGUAGGCAGUGGCCUUAGAGCACUUCCAAUAUUGACGUACGAGUUGAAUACUGGGUCACCCUUUACUCAAGUCCCGAGAUCAGAAACUCAUAUACCGGUCGCCAUCGGAACUUCUGUCUGAAGUAUUAGUGUUCACACCACUAUACUCAAAUCCGCGUUACUAUACGUAUAGUCAACUGUAACGAACACGAGAACUUAUGGAGGUAUUGGUUACGUAGGGUGGUCAACAAGUGACACUAUACUUUGGUCCGUUGUAUGAAAAGUUGUUGCUGCUAUGCCGUACACAGACACUGAAACCAGAUCGUUCCGAUUAAGUACCUACAAGUAGACCUCUCGUCUCGCCGUGUUGUUCGUAUCAACCUGGUUCCCCUAGAUAACCCAUGUAUCGAGGACUCAUACCGUACCCGUCACUUUAGAGCUGGCUCCCACUACAGAUGUCGAUACCGUAACAAGAAAACCUUUACGAUUGUGUAUUUGCUGGAUGAUUACUUCUCAAAUCACUACCGAACUGCGAGGCGUUCAUACAUCUACGUAGCGACAGUGCUUGGGUUCUGUAAGAAGUGGGAUCAGAAUAAAGUCUCUACCCUCUAGUCACACAGCCAGUAUAGGGUUUGAACGUUCUUGUGUUGUGUAAACGUAACUUCCUAUAUACACGAGAGGCCGAGGAAUCUGAACCGAAUAAUACGAGACGCCUUAGCGGCUUCCUAGCUGGUUGCUACGUACUACAGAUGCCACUUCAUUGACUUCAUUUUCUCCGUAAAAAGAGAUACCUGUUGACUUCGUUACUGGAAUAUGUGUAAUAAUUCCGUUUUUUCCGCCAGCUACUUCAACUUCGAUCAACGAAAUGCCGUACCGUUAUACAACUAUUAAACGAUAGAACGGUAGAAAAAAGGAAAAAUUAUUCAGCUAAACAAACCGAGAGACAUUAUUAAACCAAAAGAUGCGAUGUCUACAGAGCCGUUCUAGAAAACUCUUAGAAAGGUGCAAUUAUCUCGGGAAACGGACUAUUACUACCCAAAGAUGCUGUGUGUGUGGACAGUCUACGUGAAUUUGGUUA